rnacentral:rRNA from 1 species
GGGCGUUAAGUUGCAGGGUAUAGACCCGAAACCCGGUGAUCUAGCCAUGGGCAGGUUGAAGGUUGGGUAACACUAACUGGAGGACCGAACCGACUAAUGUUGAAAAAUUAGCGGAUGACCUGUGGCUGGGGGUGAAAGGCCAAUCAAACCGGGAGAUAGCUGGUUCUCCCCGAAAGCUAUUUAGGUAGCGCCUCGUGAAUUCAUCUCCGGGGGUAGAGCACUGUUUCGGCUAGGGGGCCAUCCCGGCUUACCAACCCGAUGCAAACUGCGAAUACCGGAGAAUGUUAUCACGGGAGACACACGGCGGGUGCUAACGUCCGUCGUGAAGAGGGAAACAACCCAGACCGCCAGCUAAGGUCCCAAAGUCAUGGUUAAGUGGGAAACGAUGUGGGAAGGCCCAGACAGCCAGGAUGUUGGCUUAGAAGCAGCCAUCAUUUAAAGAAAGCGUAAUAGCUCACUGGUCGAGUCGGCCUGCGCGGAAGAUGUAACGGGGCUAAACCAUGCACCGAAGCUGCGGCAGCGACACUAUGUGUUGUUGGGUAGGGGAGCGUUCUGUAAGCCUGUGAAGGUGGCCUGUGAGGGUUGCUGGAGGUAUCAGAAGUGCGAAUGCUGACAUAAGUAACGAUAAAGCGGGUGAAAAGCCCGCUCGCCGGAAGACCAAGGGUUCCUGUCCAACGUUAAUCGGGGCAGGGUGAGUCGACCCCUAAGGCGAGGCCGAAAGGCGUAGUCGAUGGGAAACGGGUUAAUAUUCCCGUACUUGGUGUUACUGCGAAGGGGGGACGGAGAAGGCUAUGUUGGCCGGGCGACGGUUGUCCCGGUUUAAGCGUGUAGGCUGGUUUUCCAGGCAAAUCCGGAAAAUCAAGGCUGAGGCGUGAUGACGAGGCACUACGGUGCUGAAGCAACAAAUGCCCUGCUUCCAGGAAAAGCCUCUAAGCAUCAGGUAACAC